GAUGAACGCUGGCGGCGUGCCUAAUACAUGCAAGUCGAGCGAACAGAUGAGGAGCUUGCUCCUCUGACGUUAGCGGCGGACGGGUGAGUAACACGUGGAUAACCUACCUAUAAGACUGGGAUAACUUCGGGAAACCGGAGCUAAUACCGGAUAAUAUAUUGAACCGCAUGGUUCAAUAGUGAAAGACGGUUUUGCUGUCACUUAUAGAUGGAUCCGCGCCGCAUUAGCUAGUUGGUAAGGUAACGGCUUACCAAGGCAACGAUGCGUAGCCGACCUGAGAGGGUGAUCGGCCACACUGGAACUGAGACACGGUCCAGACUCCUACGGGAGGCGGCAGUAGGGAAUCUUCCGCAAUGGGCGAAAGCCUGACGGAGCAACGCCGCGUGAGUGAUGAAGGUCUUCGGAUCGUAAAACUCUGUUAUUAGGGAAGAACAAAUGUGUAAGUAACUAUGCACGUCUUGACGGUACCUAAUCAGAAAGCCACGGCUAACUACGU
rnacentral:rRNA from 1 species